CUCUCUCUCUCUCUCUCUCUCUCUCUCUCUCUCUCUCUCUCUCUCUCUCUCUCUCUCUCUCUCUCUCUCUCUCUCUCUCUCGGCAUCAUGGGGGCUGGAGUCCAGGGCUUUGGCUGUACUGUAGUUGUCAUGACAGUAUCUUUGGUUGUUGUGACUCUUUAUUUAACAAGGCAAGUCAGUUAAGAACACAUUCUUAUUUACAAUAACGGCCAAACCAGGACGACGCUCGGCCAAAUCAUGCCCCCCCCUAUGGGACUCCCAAUCACAGCCGGAUGUGAUACAGCCUGGAUUCGAACCAGGGACUGUAGUGACACCUCUUCGCAACGGAGAUGCAGUGCCUUAGACCACUUUUUUGUUGUUGUUGAUGUUGUUGCAUAUAUAUAGUGUAUAAAAAAUGUUUCCUAUGGCCAGGACAGUGCAAUAAACACAUUUCCACACACACACACACACACACACACACACAGAGACACACACAUCCAGCUGCAAUAACAACUGUAUAGGACGGCUGUGUGGAGAAAAAGGCCCAGAGAAGAAUCAGAGAAAUCCCUCAUUUCUACAGUUUAGACCAGGAGAAGAGCCCUCUGGGAGACUCAUCAGUGUUCUGAUAGAGCCAGUGGAUGAGGGAGUAGAGGGGAGGACGUCGCUGUCCCUUGCCCCAGUCUGGGCCCCUCUCUCUGGGGUACGUUACCCAGCCUUUGCCCCUCUCUGGCGGGGACAUCCACUCUCUGUCCGUCUGCCUGUCCGUCUCCCUGCCCGUCUCCCUGCCCGUCUCCCUGUCCGUCUCCCUGUCCGUCUCCCUGCCCGUCUCCCUGCCCGUCUCCCUGUCCGUCUCCCUGUCCGUCUCCCUGUCCGUCUCCCUGCCCGUCUCCCUGCCCAUCUCCCUGCCCGUCUCCCUGCCCGUCUCCCUGUCCGUCUGCCUGUCCGUCGGCAGCGGAGUGUGUGUGCGUGUCCAGGUUGAAGUCUCCUAGCGUUGUGUGUGUGUGUAUUCCCGGCGCGGUGAGGAGUGUGUGUGUGUGUAUUCCCGGCGCGGUGAGGAGUGUGUGUGUGUGUGUGACAGCGUCACGCAGUCCAUUCCUCUCCUCCUCCAAUCGGAACACCUGUUCUCUCAGCAGAGCCUCUGAUUGGGCCAGCCCCUCCACCUGCACGUCCAGGCGACACACACGAGCCUGGGACACCUGGAGAGAAACAAAACGUGUGUUUAGUGUGUGUGUGUGUGUGUGUGUGUGUGUGUGAUGAAAAUAAUCAUGGCCUCUAAACCCUCAAGCUGCAUACUGGACCCUAUUCCAACUAAACUAGUGAAAGAGCUGCUUCCUGUGCUUGGCCCUCCUAUGUUGAACAUAAUAAACGGCUCUCUAUCCACCGGAUGUUUACCAAGCUCACUAAAAGUGGCAGUAAUAAAGCCUCUCUUGAAAAAGCCGAAUCUUGAUCCAGAAAUU
rnacentral:lncRNA from 1 species